UACAGAGGAGCCAAGCGUUGUCCGGAUUGACUGGGCGUAAAGCGCACGCAGGCGGACGCGCGCGUGGGUGUGAAAUCUGGCCGCUUAACGGCCAGGCGCCAUCCCAUACGGCGCGUCUGGAGUGAUGCAGAGGUCGGUGGAAUUGCCGGUGUAGUGGUGAAAUGCGUAGAGAUCGGCAGGAACACCCAGGGGGAAACCAGCCGACUGGGCAUGCUACGUGACGCUGAGGUGCGAG
rnacentral:rRNA from 1 species